UUUGCCCAUGCAUGCCCUAUAGGCACUAGAUCCCAUCUGAUAUUGGAAGCUAAGCAGGGGCAGCCCUGGAGUAUGCUUCAAUGGGAAUCCAUCAGAUAGAUACAAGUAGUAGGCAAUU
rnacentral:rRNA from 11 species